AUGGCAAUGACAGCUUUAUUCAGACAGGGGGACCUGUUGCUCUAUCUUCCUCCAUUACUGAACUUUGCCCCACCCCAGACUGUCUCUGUCACCGUUGAUUUUCACUCCAAUCAGAGAGUUGCUACUCAGAUGAGCAGACUGAGCAGAGCCAUCAACAUGAUCCUCCUGACUAUAGUGUCACUGUGGAUGUCAGGGUCCACUCUUGCCAACAGUGUGAAUCAGACCGCCUCUGACCAGAUCAAGAAUGCCAGCCAGUCUCUUAAGCUUGAGUGCUUCCAUACCAUUCCAAGCUACGACACGAUUCUGUGGUACAAACAGACUCAUGGCGGCACUCUGACCUUUUUGGGAUACUUAUACGCAUCAACUAGUACUAUAGAGACUGAAUUCAGUGGAAAAGUCGAAAUGGAUGGGGAUCCCAACAUUAAUAAAAUGAACUCAUUAAACAUUUUUAAUCUGUUACUGAAUGACAGUGCAGUGUACUUCUGUGCAGCUAGUUUACACAGUGUUUCUGAUCACCUACCUGUCCAGUAUGAGCACAGCUCUGGUAAUACUCCUCCUCUCAUCACUGUGGAAUGCAGGUAUCAUGACUUGUGUUGA